rnacentral:lncRNA from 1 species
ACCUUGCCGGACACACCAAUCAUAUUUGCUGUAUCUCACUCCAGAUGGAACGCUCCUGAACACUUUUAAAACGAAAGGCUACUGCUUGCAAUACCUUCUCUCUAAAUAUGACAGUGUGAUGAUAGAUGAUUUCGCCGCUUCUUUUGUGAAGCAGUCAGAUGCACACUCUCCGUCAUAGCGAAACAAAAGUCUAUCAUUGGAUUCGUGCGACAAGCUAUGCGACAAGCUCUGACUAAAUGCCUGCUAUAUUUGAAAGAAAGUCUGGAAAGGUACUCCUCUGCACCAAAAGGAGCCUACUUCAUUUGGAUAUUAUUACCCUGCUUAUAGAAUAAAACAAGAGAUUGUCGAUCAAUAAAAAUAAAUUAGUGAAUAAAUCAUUGAAAUGAAACGAAUCCACUUCUAAAAGUCCCUUUUUUUGAGCCGUAAAAAAAUUGUUUUUUACUCAUCAGCCAGCAAGACUGCAUUUUGUAUCCAUCUCCAUCCCUUAAAACUGGAAGUAGGUAUCCUUUCCUUCUAAGGUAUAUAAUUAUAUCAGUAAUAGUAGUGCUAAGUUUUUAUUUAAUAAUAUAAAUAAAAUUAUUUUCUUCUACUUUAAUUGAGUUGUAUGUACCUAUAAUCGUUCCAAAGUUUUCUUCUUUUUUUUACGUGAUUUCGUCUUCCUAAUUCACUCUUCACUCGAGCUGAUUUACAAUGCAAGCAUAGAUGUCAGAGAAAAGAGGCUCCGAGUUUGGUGAAUGUAAUACUAGCUAUUUGUAAGUCCUUAGACUCAAAAUAAAAGAAUGAUUGUUUCUCAAUUUGAGUGAGUUUGUUUUUU